CCUACGGGCGGCAGCAGUGAGGAAUAUUGGUCAAUGGACGAGAGUCUGAACCAGCCAAGUAGCGUGAAGGAUGACUGCCCUAUGGGUUGUAAACUUCUUUUAUAUGGGAAUAAAACGUUCCACGUGUGGGAUUUUGUAUGUACCAUAUGAAUAAGGAUCGGCUAACUCCGUGCCAGCAGCCGCGGUAAUACGGAGGAUCCGAGCGUUAUCCGGAUUUAUUGGGUGUAAAGGGAGCGUAGGUGGAUUGUUAAGUCAGUUGUGAAAGUUUGCGGCUCAACCGUAAAAUUGCAGUUGAAACUGGCAGUCUUGAGUACAGUAGAGGUGGGCGGAAUUCGUGGUGUAGCGGUGAAAUGCUUAGAUAUCACGAAGAACUCCGAUUGCGAAGGCAGUUCACUGGACUGCAACUGACACUGAGGCUCGAAAGUGUGGGUAUCAAACAGGAUUAGAUACCCUGGUAGUC
rnacentral:rRNA from 1 species